CAGCGAAUAUUGCCCGACUGCCAACUGCCCGGUACGCCCAUGACUUUGCUGUUUGCUUGCACGAAUUUUUUUUCUCUGACGUAAUGGCUGCACGAAUUUUUUUUCCAGGCAUUUUUCUUUGCACGAAUUUUUUUGGGGGAAUUUUCACCCCCCCUCCCGGAAUUUCUAAUGGUCCGCCCCUUAGUCAUUACAUUAGUCAUUACAUUACAUUGAGUUUGGGUAAUGGUCGAGUGUCGAGGGUCAUAGGUCGAGGGUCGAGGGUCAUAGGUCGAGGGUCAAAAGUCGAGGUCGAGGGUCAAAAGUCGAGGUCGAGGGUCAAAAGUCGAG